rnacentral:lncRNA from 1 species
AUCAAUAUCCUAAAACGUAAACAUAAAUCUUUUAAUUACCCGUUCCAUAUGUAUAAGAGCAGCCUCAUCGGACAAACAAAUACUGAAAAGAGAUUCUUAGAGCAUUAAUAUCGGUGCCUCUUAAGGCUGACUCUUCCAAAAAAAAAUUAUUUAAAAUCAUAUGGAUCCCACCAUUAAUUAAAACCUGCCUCUUCUACCUCUUCCGUAAGAGGUGAGUUCGUGAGGAUUUUAUCACUUUUCGCAGGCCCCAUUGACACGUGUCUGCCCGCGAUUGGUCAGUUUUUAAUUUUUUUUUUUUAAAAUCGGACAAAACAAAAAAAUAAUAAUAAUAAAAAAAAAUUAAAACCCACUCUCUCUCCCCUUGCGUUAAUGCUGCUCUUAAUAAUUUUAUGUAUAUUUUAAUUCUCUUUUCAUUAUAUAACUAAAGUUCAUUAUUUUUAAAGCAAUAUAACCACUAAAAAUAACAUGUAUGAAAGACGGAAAAAGGUAUUUUAUAGGGUUAUAAUAAUAAAUGCUUACUUUUGAAUUGAUAUCUCAUUCUCAUUCUCUUUUUAUUUUUAUUUUAUUUUUC